GACGAACGCUGGCGGCGUGCCUAACACAUGCAAGUCGAGCGGAGAUCAUAGCAAUGUGAUCUUAGCGGCGGACGGGUGAGUAACGCGUGGGCAACCUGCCUUUAUCAGGGGGAUAACACAGGGAAACUUGUGCUAAUACCGCAUAAAAUCAUGAAAGGACAUCCUUUUAUGAUCAAAGGAGUAAUCCGGAUAGAGAUGGGCCCGCGUCCGAUUAGCUAGUUGGUGGUGUAACGGACCACCAAGGCGACGAGCGGUAGCCGAACUGAGAGGUUGAUCGGCCACAUUGGGACUGAGACACGGCCCAGACUCCUACGGGAGGCAGCAGUGGGGAAUAUUGCGCAAUGGGGGAAACCCUGACGCAGCAACGCCGCGUGAAGGAUGAAGGUUUUCGGAUCGUAAACUUCUUUGAUGAGGGACGAUAAUGACGGUACCUGAGGAGGAAGCCACGGCUAACUACGUGCCAGCCGCCGCCGUAAUAC
rnacentral:rRNA from 1 species